rnacentral:rRNA from 1 species
GAUGAACGCUGGCGGCGUGCCUAAUACAUGCAAGUCGAGCGAACAGACGAUGAGCUUGCUCCUUUGACGUUAGCGGCGGACGAGUCAGUAACACGUUGGUCACCUCCCUAUAAUACUGCGAUAACUUCGGGACUCCGGCGCUAAUACCGGAUGAGAUUUCGAACCGCAUGGUUCGAUAGUGAAAGAUGGCUUUGCUAUCACCUGUAUAUGGACCUGCGCCGUAUUAGAUAGUUGGUAAGGUAACGGCUUACCAAGGCAACGAUACGUAGCCGACCUGAGAGGGUGGUCGGCCACACUGGAGCUGAGACACGGUCCAGACUCCUAAGGGAGGCAGCAGUCGGGAAUCUGCCGCAAUAGGCGAAAGCCUGACGGAGCAACGGCGCGUGAGUGAUGAAGGUCUUCGGAUCGUAAAACUGUGUUAUUAGGGAAGAACAAACGUGUAAGUAACUGUGCACGACUUGACGGUACCUAAUCAGAAAGCCACGGCUAACUACGUG